AUGUACAUUCCUACAUCCUAGCGUUAAUGCACAGGAUCCCAUUAGAACUUAGCAAUUAAGCAUGCUUGGGCUAGAGUAGUACUCGGAUGGGUGACCGCCCGAGAAAUCCUAGUGUUUUACAUG
rnacentral:rRNA from 1 species